GCUCAGUGGAGGAUGAGUGGGAGCUGAGAGAAAGGAGGCAAAGACUAGUCAAGGUGGGGUCCAGUGAAAUUGAAAGGGUCCUAAGAAGAGGAAGAAGGCAGAAGGGAGGUUGGAUACACCAUGGGAAGGAGUUGACCUGCAGCUGGCUUGGAGACAGAGGAAGGGCCACAAUCCAAGGAAUGUAGUGGCCUCUAGAAGUUUUGCAAAGCCAGCGAGAUUUACAGCCAGCGAGAAAACAGGAGCUUCAGUCCUACAACUGCAAAGAACUGAAUUCCACUGAUGACACAACUGGACGGGCAAUAGACUCCCCACCUCGUCUCCAGGAAAGAACUCAGCCCUAAUAAUGCCUUGGUGUUUGCCAUUGAGAUCCAUGCUGGACUUCUGGCCUCCAAACCAAAAGAGAAGACAUUUGUGUUGCUUUAAGCCACUAAGGUUGUGGAAUUUGUUGUGGAAGCAAGAGGAAACUGCUGUGCUCUCCUUCA